rnacentral:tRNA from 1 species
GCCCGGGUGGCGGAAUUGGUAGACGCACUAGCUUCAGGUGCUAGCGCUCGCAAGGGCGUGGAAGUUCGAGUCUUCUCCCGGGGCACCA